rnacentral:rRNA from 1 species
UACGGAAGGCAGCAGUGGGGAAUAUUGCACAAUGGGCGAAAGCCUGAUGCAGCUAUGCCGCGUGUAUGAAGAAGGCCUUAGGGUUGUAAAGUACUUUCAUCGGGGAGGAAAAAACAAAACUAAUAAUUUUAUUUCUUGACGUUACCCGAAAAAGAAGCACCGGCUAACUCCGUGCCAGCAGCCGCGGUAAUACGGAGGGUGCUAGCGUUAAUCAGAAUUACUGGGCGUAAAGAGCACGUAGGUGGUUUUUUUAAGUUCAGAUGUGAAAUCCCUGGGCUUAACCUGGAACUGCAUUUUGAAACUGAAAUACUAGAGUAUCGUAGAGGGAGGUAGAAUUCUAGGUGUAGCGGUGAAAUGCGUAGAUAUCUGGAGGAAUACCUGUGGCGAAAGCGGCCUCCUAAACGAAUACUGACACUGAGGGUGCGAAAGCGUGGGGAGCAAACAGGGAUUAGAUACC